rnacentral:rRNA from 1 species
GAUGAACGCUGGCGGCGUGCUUAACACAUGCAAGUCGAACGAUGAACCUGGAGCUUGCUCUGGGGGAUUAGUGGCGAACGGGUGAGUAACACGUGAGCAACCUGCCCCUGACUCUGGGAUAAGCGCUGGAAACGGCGUCUAAUACUGGAUAUGUGACGUGACCGCAUGGUCUGCGUUUGGAAAGAUUUUUCGGUUGGGGAUGGGCUCGCGGCCUAUCAGCUUGUUGGUGAGGUAAUGGCUCACCAAGGCGUCGACGGGUAGCCGGCCUGAGAGGGUGACCGGCCACACUGGGACUGAGACACGGCCCAGACUCCUACGGGAGGCAGCAGUGGGGAAUAUUGCACAAUGGGCAGAAGCCUGAUGCAGCAACGCCGCGUGAGGGAUGACGGCCUUCGGGUUGUAAACCUCUUUUAGCAGGGAAGAAGCGAGAGUGACGGUACCUGCAGAAAAAGCGCCGGCUAACUACGUGCCAGCCGCCGCAGUAAGAC